UACAGAGGUCUCAAGCGUUGUUCGGAUUCAUUGGGUGUAAAGGGUGCGUAGGUGGCGCCGUAAGUCGGGUGUGAAAUUUCGGAGCUUAACUCCGAAACUGCAUUCGAUACUGCGGUGCUUGAGGACUGGAGAGGAGACUGGAAUUUACGGUGUAGCGGUGAAAUGCGUAGAUAUCGUAAGGAAGACCAGUGGCGAAGGCGGGUCUCUGGACAGUUCCUGACGCUGAGGCACGAAGGUCAGGGGAGCAAACGGG
rnacentral:rRNA from 1 species